rnacentral:misc_RNA from 1 species
AAAACGCGAAAUGUGUUAUGAUGUGCAGUCUUUGUGAAUCAUGAAUCUUUGAACGCAACUUGCACCAGGAGUAGCAGUACGCCUGGUAUGCCUGUUUGAGCGAGGGAGAGAGAUGUACGAGGGUAUAGAAUGGGGCCUAGCAUGCAUGUGCUUGCCCUGAAAGGAAGCAAUUGUUCUCUUGGGAUAAUCAUCAAGAAAACUCAUUUUAGUAUCCUUCCUCAAAUCAGGCAAGAACACCCGCUGAACUUAA